AAUAUACAACUCUAAAGACCACAAAAGCAGGGAUUUGUAUUCGCGCUUAAACAGUAGUUUUUAGAUUCGAGGAUUGUGCUGGUGAAUGUCGCCUUAGCAUGACCCGUUUAGAUCUCCCCCAUUUUCCCUCUUUUGUGCUAGGACGAUAUCGGCUGUCGGCGUUUGGUGGGCAUCACCGCACUGAUCUGGCGUUUGUGUGCAGUGAAAACUGACGUCUGGUUAGCGCAGCGCUGCACUAAAUUCUGGCCAGCGUUCACUCUGAAUGCGCCGGCGAACAUAUAUCCACUGGAUCGCGCUGGACAGGUUACGGCUUACGCCGAGCCCAGAAUACAAAUCUUCGAUUUAAGCGCAGCGCUACUCAAAACGCCGGUGUCAUUGCAUUUGUUCGGGACCUUCUUGCCUGCAGCAUUCGUGGCAGGAGGAUUGCAUGAAGAAGACGCAAAAACUCCCACAACAACACAAAAAGAGUUGUUGUGUCUGCAGGAUAAAUUCGUCCUGGCGGCGACAUGGACCGAUGAGGAAAAGAUGCAGGCUGUGCUGCAGUGUCUGGCUCUUUUAAGGGGCACAUUUGAAACGUACAAAAAGGAUUUCCGACUGCUAAAACAUCAUGUUAUUUAUAUGGAAGAGCGCACCAGUCUCCUCGAAGAAAGUUUUCUCAAGAAUAUGAAACAGGAAUCUUCGCGUUCCACAGACAUGGCAGAACAUGGACUGAAAAACUCGAACACAUGGAAUAUCGGGCGGAUUCUGGACAUGUCAGAUGCUUCUGUUGCUACUGUGAUCGCCAUUGUCAUGGUACUGUUGCUAUUACGUUACGUGUUCUGGCCCAACUACAACAACGGUCAUCAGUGAAUUUACAUCGGUUUCAUGAUGCUUUUCGGAGUGUGCAUCGUCGGAGCUCUGGUUUCGGCUUGGAUAGUCCCCGGGAUGUGCGUUCAACGAAUUGUUAAAGAGGAGUUUUGACGUUUGAGCCGCAAUUGCUUUCAUCGUUGUUUUGCUUGUAAUGUACAGAAAAGGGUAAGGUAAAAUGAAGAAAAUAUUAAGGUAAGAAAGAAAUAGCUAAAUGAUUUUUUUCAGGUGAGCCUUUAACGUUUUGAAACCUGAAAGUCAGGCGACCGGUGCCGCUGAAGUCACGUGAUUAAUAAAUUGAACAUCAACGCUCAUUCUUUUCAGUCUUAUGUAAUAUGGAUCAAUGAUCACAUAGCUUAUAUAUAAGUCUAUGCGCGUCUUAUUCGCGUCAAAUCACUGCGCUAAAACGAUAGGCGCGUUCCACAAAACAUUGGGUUGAUAUUAUGGGCACUUGUUUACUACUGGCAGCCCUUUUGCACCAUGUUGUAUCUACAGGCGCCAACUUUUGUUUUCCUUUUGUUUUUCACCACAACAUCGAUUUCUCGCAAACUCUUUCUUGCGACAUAACUUAUUUUAAUAAUAUUUUUUAUUAAUAUUUUUAAUACAUUAUGAUAUUUUAGGCAGAUUUUCUGAACAACUGUUUUUGUUAACUCUGACUUUCGAAACCUAGUGUAUUACGUUUUCCACCUUACUAUCAAUCGGUUUUCCUUGACGUCGCGCGGAUCCGUUCUCUUUGCCAUAUUUUUCGAAAGAUUACGGAUCCGUUCUCCUUGCCUCCUGUUUAUUUCGUGGUCUUUUUGUAUAUUUGUGCUGUUGAAUACUGUUCGGACUGAUUACUAGAGAGUCGCACACGCAAAAGAGUGAGCGUUAUCUAUCUUUGAACGCAGUACUUGGUGGAGAGUUACAGGUGAUACUUGGCAACAGACAUUAGUCACAUUACAUUACCUUAAUACAGUGCAAAUGAAUCUCAAAGCUUGUACAUAAUAUCGGAAUAUCCUAAAAAUUUUUCGAAAGAGAAAAAAUGGAGGUAUACCACAGUAACGAGAUAGUUUUUUCUCUUUCUAA